rnacentral:rRNA from 1 species
GGUGCUAACGUCCGUCGUGAAGAGGGAAACAACCCAGACCGCCAGCUAAGGUCCCAAAGUCAUGGUUAAGUGGGAAACGAUGUGGGAAGGCCCAGACAGCCAGGAUGUUGGCUUAGAAGCAGCCAUCAUUUAAAGAAAGCGUAAUAGCUCACUGGUCGAGUCGGCCUGCGCGGAAGAUGUAACGGGGCUAAACCAUGCACCGAAGCUGCGGCAGCGACACUGUGUGUUGUUGGGUAGGGGAGCGUUCUGUAAGCCUGUGAAGGUGUGUCGUGAGGCAUGCUGGAGGUAUCAGAAGUGCGAAUGCUGACAUAAGUAACGAUAAAGCGGGUGAAAAGCCCGCUCGCCGGAAGACCAAGGGUUCCUGUCCAACGUUAAUCGGGGCAGGGUGAGUCGACCCCUAAGGCGAGGCCGAAAGGCGUAGUCGAUGGGAAACGGGUUAAUAUUCCCGUACUUGGUGUUACUGCGAAGGGGGGACGGAGAAGGCUAUGUUGGCCGGGCGACGGUUGUCCCGGUUUAAGCGUGUAGGUGUGUGUUCCAGGUAAAUCCGGUUCACUUUAACACUGAGGCGUGACGACGAGGCACUACGGUGCUGAAGCAACAAAUGCCCUGCUUCCAGGAAAAGCCUCUAAGCAUCAGGUAACAUCAAAUCGUACCCCAAACCGACACAGGUGGUCAGGUAGAGAAUACCAAGGCGCUUGAGAGAACUCGGGUGAAGGAACUAGGCAAAAUGGUGCCGUAACUUCGGGAGAAGGCACGCUGACACGUAGGUGAAGUGAUUUACUCAUGGAGCUGAAGUCAGUCGAAGAUACCAGCUGGCUGCAACUGUUUAUUAAAAACACAGCACUGUGCAAACACGAAAGUGGACGUAUACGGUGUGACGCC